GCAAGUCGAACGAAAUCUUCGGAUUUAGUGGCGGACGGGUGAGUAACGCGUGAGAAUCUGCCUUCAGGAGGGGGACAACAGUUGGAAACGGCUGCUAAUACCCCAUAUGCCGAGAGGUGAAAUGAGUUUCGCCUGAAGAUGAGCUCGCGUCUGAUUAGCUAGUUGGUAGUGUAAUGGACUACCAAGGCAUUGAUCAGUAGCUGGUCUGAGAGGAUGAUC
rnacentral:rRNA from 1 species